CAAUUGUGCUUUUGCCUAUAACAGAGGAACCACAGGAAACCGCCAAGGAAGAUUGCUUUGGCAUCUUUCCCCGACCCCCUACUAAUAUGAUUGAGCACAUCGUCCAUCAUAAUGCUCAGCAUCCAGGCAGCACCAGGCAUGAAGACUUCAUCCAACCAUCUAUCACCUUGUCCCAUUGAUAGUUAUGAAGAAAGAUCAGCUAAUAGCUCACAAGUAGUACAGACUUCAACAGAGGGAGUCGAGCGUGCUGUUGGCAAAGCAGGGUGUCUUCUGCUGAGCCCUACAAGGAAUUAGGAAAACAGCCCUGGCAACCUGAGGUUGAAAUGUUUCAAACACAAGGGCAGACUGUAGCCAUGAGGUGAGAGCCUUUUGCUGGCAAAAAAUUUACCACUGACAUUUAAGGGGGAGACCAAUAAACAUGG